AUUGAACGCUGGCGGCAUGCCUUACACAUGCAAGUCGAACGGCAGCACGGGUGCUUGCACCUGGUGGCGAGUGGCGAACGGGUGAGUAAUACAUCGGAACGUACCUUAUCGUGGGGGAUAACGCAGCGAAAGCUGUGCUAAUACCGCAUACGCCCUGAGGGGGAAAGCGGGGGAUCGAAAGACCUCGCGCGAUUAGAGCGGCCGAUGCCUGAUUAGCUUGUUGGUGGGGUAAGAGCCCACCAAGGCGACGAUCAGUAGCUGGUCUGAGAGGACGAUCAGCCACACCGGGACUGAGACACGGCCCAGACUCCUACGGGAGGCAGCAGUGGGGAAUUUUGGACAAUGGGGGCAACCCUGAUCCAGCAAUGCCGCGUGAGUGAAGAAGGCCUUCGGGUUGUAAAGCUCUUUUGUCAGGGAAGAAACAGCAGCUCUAACACAGUCUGCGAAUGACGGUACCUGAAGAAUAAGCACCGGCUAACUACGUGCCAGCCGCCGCCGUAA
rnacentral:rRNA from 1 species